UGAGCAUAGUAAGAAGAGAAGCCGUCC
rnacentral:piRNA from 1 species